UCACCCAUUGAACCUAGGAGCUGAACCCUAGAAAUUCCAUUACCACCACACCCUUUAACCAACAACCACGUAGACGCUGCCCGGCGAGCUUGCCGGAAAACGAACCAACAGCCACACACCAUCUGAAACAUACACACGCGCGCAUAGAAAUGAGAAAGGGACAAUUACUGCAAGUUAGGUUCGACCGAGGUUCUAGUCGCCUGGUUCGUUUUAUUAUUGUCUCGUUCAAAUUCCGGCAGAAUCCGGUUGGUUGUUUGUCGAAAUUCCUAUAUUUCUUAUGAGAGUCCUGUUCCAGUGUUCCGGAUCCGUUUGGUGUAAGUGUGCUUGUAAGAAUUUCUGCGUUCAUUGAUCUAUCUUUUUUUUCACACUUUAAUUAUCAGUUGAAUUGAUUUUAAGUGGUUGUAACUGCUGCACUGUAUUUUAGGAUGAGCUUGUGUUUCACGAUUUUAUGAUAUCUGCUGCAGCAUUGAUCAGUCUCAAAUGUAUUCCUUUGCAAAUUCGUUGAUUUCGUUGCUAAAGUGUCUGCUUCUUGCAAUAUUGAACAAGUUAUGUAUAGUGCAGA
rnacentral:lncRNA from 1 species